GACGUAGGGGGCCAGCGUUGUUCGGAAUUACUGGGGGUAAAGGGUUCGUAGGCGGUGCGGCAAGUUGGGGGUGAAAUCUCUGGGCUUAACCCAGAGGCUGCUUCCAAAACUGCUGUGCUUGAGUGUGGGAGAGGCGCGUGGAAUUGCAGGUGUAGCGGUGAAAUGCGUAGAUAUCUGCAGGAACACCCGUGGCGAAAGCGGCGCGCUGGACCACUACUGACGCUGAGGAACGAAAGCUAGGGGAGCAAACAGG
rnacentral:rRNA from 1 species